AUAUAUAUAUGUGUGUGUGUGUGUGUGUAUGCACACAAAAUUCAUUUUAAAAUCCUUUAGAGCAUUAGAUAUCUUACCUUAACAGCUUUAUAUUAGGAGAAAUUUGAGGUACUUAUCUUUCAAGCUGGAAACCAAGGUCACUCUGGCUGUUUUCUCACCUAUAACCUGGAAAUUAAUGGUAGCAUUUUGCACAGAGGGGUAUCUUGAAAUUUAAAUGAGAGUAAUUAUAGCAUCCUAUGUAAAUAUUUGCCACAUGUUAUGAUUUCAAUAUGUUUGGAAUAUUGUUUUCAUUUAAAUUUACCCAGGCCUUUUCGAACACGUGUUUUUUAGUGGUUUUCAUCAGCAAAAUGAAAAUAGUUUCUACCACCUGGUGAAAAGUCUUCUUGCCUGCAGAAUCCUGUGCCCUUUUGAGGAGUUUGUCAUUCAGAAACAUAGUUUUGCCUUUGAAGUGAAUUACAGCAAAUCCAUAGCAUAUACCCUGCUGUAUCACAUCAAGUGUUCAGAAGUCUGGGAAUACACACCCUUUAUGGCAGUGUCUCCCCUCUGCCUGUAUCCCACCUUUGCCUUCACUUUUGUAUUCAAAGAACUGCCAAACUACAGCUCCUUGGUAAGUACGAGGCACCGAUUUUUCUUACCUAUUUAUCCUGUGCUAACGCUCUGAAAAGAUUUGAGCUGGAUCACAGAAAGGGAUUGCAUCUUAUAAAUUAUCUUCAAAAAAGUCACAAAGUUAAAGGAAAUAAGAGGAAGGAAAGCUAUCUCAAAGUUUUACAAAGAUUUCUGUUUCUCAUAACUAAGAAUUUUUCAUGCAGUUAAUUCAGAAUAUUUUACAGCCUUCCAAUUAAUAAUCAUAAAACAUUUCCCAUGGAAGUAAUAAGAAUGGGAUAUGUCAGCAUAUAUAUAUAUAUAUAUAUAUAUAUUAUAAUGUCCUGGUCCAAGGUCACCCUUUCCCCCAAACACACACAGUAUUUUUUGAAAAUAUAUUCCAUUUUCCUGUCCUUUUCAAAUUAUUUCAUGUUUUAACUCAAUAAGCGAGAAUAGAUUUAAUAGUAAAAUACAUUUAUUGAUCCAAAUGAAAGCAAAAAGGAGGCAAAGAUCUGCUAAUGUGCAUAAAAUAUUUUCACCUGUAGUUAGGACCCAGAAAUAAUUUCUAAAUGUUUUCCAUUUGGUAUUGUAAGUUAGUCACUUUUAUAUCUUCACGAUGUUUUUGGCAAUGAUAGAAAAUUGCUGUCUACAUUUGAUCAGGUCAACCGUGAAUUAAUGAAACAGCAAGUUACAGCAACAUUUUGGUCGCUUCUAAUAUUUUAACAUUAUGUACAAUAAUCAUGAGUCUAAUAUUCCCAUCUUUUUUAUUUUGUUCAACUUUCAUAAAUGACAUGACCAAUUGUAACAAAAAACACCAACAACAAUGUUGUUUCUUAGUUCAUGCAGGAGGAUGCCAAUGUUGCCCACCAUCUCGGUUCCCGUUUCCUACUUUAAUGACUGUAGGUAGAGGAAUAUUUACUUGUUCUGAUAAGUAACUUUAAAUUUUACAUUCAAACACUCAAGAAAGGAAAGCUCACUCUUUCUCCUUUCUUUUAUUAUAUAAUUAUUCCCCCCAUUUAUACCUAAAUCCUUAAAAAUACAUAAUAAUACCAGCUCACUGACAAAUCAUUUUAUUGCAUGCUAAAAGCCAAUGGCUUUGUGGGGAGAGGUGUUAAGUAUGUGCUUUUCUAGAAAUGCAUUGUAUUAUAUAUUUUCAGUCUUUUGCUAAGAAACAUCAGAACCUUCUGAAGAGUUGGGGGCUCACCCCAUCCUGUAUAUGCUGUUCCCUACGGGCCUCAAGAGGCAGAGAUGCAGAGUUAGUGAAUAAUUUAAAGGCCAGGCUGUGUUCUCUAACAGCUAUUUUAAGAAACACAAGCAGGAAAGACAAGGUCUUAAGCCAAGGGCUUUCAGAAUGAGUGGUUUCUCCUUACUCCUCCCUAAGUUCUCUUCUCGCCACUUCCCAUCUCACAUCAUUUUGUAGUCAAGGAACAUACAAAUCCUAGGAGUGAAGACUUAUGAGAGCAAAACAUAUGAUUUAAAAAAAUGAAAAAAGAAAAUGAUGAUGUGGAGCUUGAGAGAUGGCUUGGCCACUAAGAGUACUGGCUGGCUUUGCAAAGGCCACAGGUCCGGUUCCCCACACUUAAAUAGGGGCUUGCAACUCUCUGUAACUCCAGUUCCAGGGCAUCCAGUGCCCUCUUCUGGCCUCUCCAGGUUCUACGCAUGAGUAUGGUGCACAGACAUAUGUGUAGACCAACACACUAAUGGAAUAAAAGCAUUUCUUUCAAGCAUGACUGACGUAUUUGUGUGACUGAUAUUUCUGUGUCUUUGUAGUGUGGGUGUGUGUAUGUAGAUUUAUUAGAGAUAUUUAUAACACAGGAAUCUGUUUCUGGCAUUCCAUCACUCAUGUUUACAUGUGCAGAAGGUUCUUAUGUGCACCUGGCACAAGUUACUAGUUAUUUUGUAUCUAUGUCCAUCUACCAAAUGAAGAAGGUAAAAAUGCCUGCUAUAUUAUUCAGACUUUUAGUCAGUAUGAUAAAUACAAAGAAAAAUAAUUUGAAGAAGGAAGGGUUUAUUUUGGCCGACAGUUUCAGAGUUUUCUGUCCAUCACGACACAGAGGUGCAGAACGUGACGUGGUGGUACAGAACAGCUUGCCUCAGAGUGAUCAGGCUGGAGGAAGGGGAAAGCUGUCAGUAGUCUACAGAAUGGCACCACCCACAUUCACAUCAGGGCCUUCCUUAAAGGAAAUGAAUCCUUUCUGGAAAUACUUCCACAGACACAUCCAGAAAUGCAUUUCACUAAUCUCCUAGGACUCCCUCAAUCCAGUCAAGCUGCCGAUCAAAAUCACCAUCAGACACACACUAGGGUCAGUUCAUAUAAAACCUUUAAAGGGUUUGGUGCUUUCUAAUUACUGCAUGAAUGUUAGUUAUGAUUGUUCUUAUUGUCUCUGCAAGAACUGAAAUCUUCAAAAUGACUUAUUUUCCUCAAUCAGGAAUGAUUGAGUAUUCAUUUUUUUAUCUCUUUUUAUUGUUCAGCGUAUCUUAGAUGCUCCAAGGUGUUUGUUCAUAGGGUAUGAUUUGAAUAAUACCUGGAAGAUUUUUGUCUUCAAAUAUACCAUGAUUUGUCAAGCUCCACAGAGGCAGCCAUUUUCCCUGUUCAGUUGUGCCCUGCUCAUCUUCAGUGAUACACAUGGUGACACAUUAGCAUGUGAUCUCCUUGGCAUUGUCUGGAUACUCCGUGUUUUCUUGAGUGGCUGAGGCCCAGACUGGGGACCCUGCUGCUACUCAAGGUAAACCCAGGAGGAAAGGGAAGGCUGAAAAGGACCAUGGGGCUGACAUGUUGCUUCUACUGGAGGGAAGGAAGGGGUGGACGGCUGGUUCCAGAAGUUUCCCUGGAUGUUGCAUCUGGAUUUAAGUUGUGUCAGGAGUUGAACAGUAUCUGUGGGAGGGGCAGAGACAGAAUCAAUAUGGUUUAUCUGAACAAGAUGUGACUGCGUUACACCUGAGUGUUUUUCCAGUAUCAACAGGACCUCGAAUCCUGGGUCCACAGAGCUCUGCAGGCAGAAUCUGUUUGAUAGCAAAGGAGAAAGGCAGAAAGGAAAUUGAAAAAAAAACCCACUAAAUGACAUCAGCUGUAAAAGCCUUCUGCCUCAGUGCUGUGAAUGAACAGAAAGCUGUUGCCUCAGCCUAGAAGCCUUUUCCUUCCAAUUUUAGAGGCAGAGUUAUAUUUAGUAUCAAAAAUCCUGUCAUUUAUAUCCAAUAAAACUAGUUUCUUAGAUUCAUAAAUGGCAACAUUUCUAGAUAGAAAAAAUGAAUUUUAACAAAGAACAAGUUUAUUGAAAGGUUAAUCAUAUUGUUAGAGAAAAAUAGGCCAAUCUUUACUGCAAAUGAAUAUUCUGGAGCUGAGAGUUACCGAAAGGAAGAUAGUUUCUCCUGAUUUUUAUUAUGAUUCAAUUUUACAGAAAACAACAUUCAAAGCUCAACUAGAAACAGUUGGGUUGUUUUCUUUUUUUCCUUUGUGUGUUACAUAUUUAGAGCAUUAUUUUAUAUUGGUAUUCAUGGUUACAAAUACAAGUGGUUUAAAAAUAUUUAUUCUUGUGUGUGUGUGUAUUAGUUUGCUUAUUAACUUAUUAGUUUGCUUAUUAACAAAACACCUACCAAAAGCAGCACAAGCAGGAAAGAUUCUAUUUCUUCUUACAACUCUCAGGGAACACUGCAUCACUGAGGAAAGUCAGGGCAGCAACUCAAGGCAGAAGCCUGAAAACAGAAACGGAAGCACAAACUAUGGCGGAGCAUUCCUUACUGCCUUGCUUCCUAUGGCUUACCCAUCUUGAUGUCUGAUAGAUCCCAGGACCACCUUCCCACAGUAAGCCGAGCCAUCCCACAUUAAUUAACCAUUAACCAGGAAAACACUCCACUCCACAGACUUGCUUAUAGCUAAACUGAUAAAGCCAUUUUCACAAUUAACAAUUAACAGUUAACACUUGGCAUGUAAGCAGUUGACAAAACCAACUAGCAGUGUAUACGUUUGUGUGUGUGUGUGUGUGUGUGUGUGCAUGUGUGUAUGUAUUUGCAUGUGUACAUGUAUGUGUGUGUGUCUGCAUGUGUCUGUGUGUUGUGAAUGCUGCUUUUGCACAGCACACUGUGUAAAUGGCGGUGUACAAAUUUUGCUCUCAGUCCUUGCCUUCUACUCUGUUUAUAGCUGCUUUACACACUCCAGGCUAAAUGGCCUGUAAGCUUCCUAGGAAUUCUCUUGUUUCUGACUAGCGUUUCAUUGACAGGGCGGCUGGGAUUCCAGACACAUCCAUACCAUUGUGUCUGGCAUUGCUCUGAGGACCUGAAUUCAGGGUGUCAGGCUUGUGAACUUUUCCCUACUGAACUAUCUUCUCAACCUCUGGAAUUUAAAAAACCAUUAAAUGAGUCAUUUCUCUAGUUUACUGGCAGAUCCAUAUAUCUGCUGUACUGGUAUACCAAUUAGUUUUUGUCAACUAUGCAAACUACAAUCAUCUGGGAAGAGAAAGCAUUAACUGACCAAUCAUUUCCAUCAGAUUAGCCUGUGGCCAUAGCUAUAGGCUAUCUGUGGGACAUUUUCUGAUUACUAAUUGGUGGCAUAGGGGUAGCCUAUUGUGGACAAUUCCAUCACUGAGCAGGUAGCCUGGGUUGUAUAAGAAGGGUAGAAACAAGCCAUUAAACUGUUUUCUUCUUUGGUCUCUGCUUAAGUUUCUGCCCUAGUCUCCCAUCCUAAUUCCUCCCUUGGUUACCCUUGAGUUUGAAUUGUUCUUGGUCAGUGUUGACAUCGCAGCAACAGAGAAGUAAAUUACAAUGCCCGCUUUAGCCUAAGUUGUCACGAUCUCUAUGUCAAAGACCUUAGAAUUGUGAGCGCACCCUAAAUGUCCAGUACCUGGCACUAAGUGGUUCCACAGUAGAACACAGUGCCCUCCGCUUCCUAGAAAUACUGCCUUUCUCUUCAUGGAGAGCCUUCGUGGUUAACACUUGUUCCUUUCGUCUAGGUCUCUUUCUCUCUGGAUGUGCCUGAGACCCUCAGAGCAGUUUAACAAUGAAUGUCAUAUGUUUGUAUAUGUCCUUCUACUGCCUCUCCGUAAGAUAAAAUGACUCAUUCUUGAAAGUUCAAAGCCUUACGAAAUCCGAAGUUAGCAAUGAUACAUAAGAAGGAGGACCCGCCCAGCAACAAUAGAAGGAGAAAUUGCCAAUUCAGGACAGGGCUUUACACUGUGCCAAAAGGUUACUUGCAUAAGGGGAUGGCACAAGGGGACUUAGAGAAAAGACCUAGCAUGAUGUGCUGAGAAGAAAGCAGUGUGGCUUCACCUUCUCCUGAGUUACUCAUCCCUGACUAAACAUAUUCCUCCCUGGCUGUGGAACCCUUGCUCUCGCGUCUGUCAAGUCCAGUUGACAACAGGGAAUUAGCAAUCCUGGCUGCCUUAAGCUCUGAUUCAGCAAUUCAGAGCCUGAGAGUCAGGAGAAAUAUGUUAGUUCACAGAUAAACUGUCCGGAAGAGGAGGCAGCUGAUGAAGACUAGCCCGUGAGAAGUGCUGAGUCCCAGGAUAACAUGAGGGGGAGGCAGAGUUGAAUUAAUGCAACACAAGGGUGACUUGAUGCAGUCAAUAGCACACGGAAAGCGGGUUGUGAUUCCCUGGGUUUUCUGACGAUGACUAUGUAGGAAGGCUUGACCUAGGGUUGUGUCAGGGAUUUGAUUUCCUACUUUUUUUUUUUUAACUUUUUAAUUAUCUUUAAUUUUUUUUUACAGUCCAGUUGAUAUCCCUCUCCCAGUCUACCCUCUGACAGUUCCUCAUCCUGUUCUUCCUUUCCUGUAUCCAAGUGGCUGUCCCUGCCCACCCACCCCCACCCCGCCAAGCCUCCUCUUUGAAGUAAUGUGGUCCGUCCCCAUGGUGCUGAAAUGAUGAACGGGGAUUAGGCGCAAUACCUCCACGUUUGUGUAAUCGCCUCAGUCUGUGUUCUUUUAAGUCCCUAUGCUAAUGUGCGGGCAUUGAUAGGAAUAAGUCUUUUGAUAUCCCUUGGCUUCUGAUGUUGUUAGAGUUGUAACACAAUUUUUAUACCUUCAAGGAAUGUGUAUAGAAGUAGAGGACGGCACCCUUCUUCACAGUCGCAUGCUAUGCUUUAGAUUCUUAUGUCCCCUGUGUUCAGCCUCAGGCUCCAUGACGGUGUUAUCCAUAGGUAUUUGGAAGGUGGGACCUGAUUCUCAGGCCAUAAAGGUUUUGGGUUCAACAGAGAUAGUAUGUCUCAGGUUUCGUUCUCUUCUUUUUCCCUUUGGCUUCAUAGCCAUGAGGCAACUGUUUCUCUUCUCUCCUGUGGAUUCUGCACGAAGCUUUGCCUCCCAGCAAAACAACAGGGUCAAUUGAUCUUAACCUGAAACCUCUGGAACAUGAACCUUUUCAUGAGUUGAUUAUACCCCGUGUUGUUAUAGUAAUGGAAAGAAAGCCAACACUCACGAUCUCUCUCCUUCUACCCUCUUGUUCGUUUAGUCUUAUCUGUAGUCAUCCAUCCAUUUGUGUAUGUGAGUAUUGUUGGGGUUUAAAUCUCAGCCCGCAUCCGGACAGAACACACCAAGCCAACAUGGUUCCACGCAGAGAGGUUUAAUGAGAGAAGAAGAGUAGGAGAGGGAGGAACAAAGUCCGGCCAUGAGCAUGUGGAAGGAAAAUGGGGCAUGGGGAGAGAAGGGACAAAAAGGAGAGGGCAAGAGAGCAGAGAAGAGAAGAGAACAACAAAGAAAAUGAGGAGGGGCAAGCAGCUCCUUAUACAGUGUCAGGCACAGUUGGCUGUUGCCAGGCAACUGUGGGGCGGAGCAUACCUGGCUAUUGCCAGGUAACUGUGGGGGUGGAGCUUAGACAGAAUACCAGCAAGUAUGGGUAUGGUGUGCUGGAUGUGUGUGUGUGUGUGUGUGUGUGUGUGUGUGUGUGUGUGUGUGUGUGUUGUAUAUGUUUAUGUCUGUGGUGUGCAUGUAUGUAUGUGGGCAAAUGUGUGCUGUCUGUGUGGUGUGGAUAUGCUUAUGAUGUGGGUACCUGUGGAAACCAGAGGUUGUUGAUGGUGUCUUCCCUCAUCGUUUUUCACCUGCCUAGCCAGCUUACCCUGGAGAGCCCUAUCUAUACGCAGCCCUGAUGUGGCACUGGGUAUCCAAAUUCCAUUACUUAUGGUUUCAUGUUCUGGAAGAUGAAAGUUUAAGAUCAAGAUGCUACUAUGGUUGGGUUCAAAGGAAGAACACUAUUGGCUGGCUGGACACUGCUGCUUCAUAUGGUUGAAUGCAAAUGACCUCUCAGAUUUCUUUUAUAAUAAAUGAAUCCCACUCAUAAA